rnacentral:rRNA from 1 species
CAGUAGCCGCGGUAAAACGUAGGUGGCAAGCGUUGUCCGGAAUUAUUGGGCGUAAAGGGCUCGCAGGUGGUUUCUUAAGUCUGAUGUGAAAGCCCCCGGCUCAACCGGGGAGGGUCAUUGGAAACUGGGAAACUUGAGUGCAGAAGAGGAGAGUGGAAUUCCACGUGUAGCGGUGAAAUGCGUAGAGAUGUGGAGGAACACCAGUGGCGAAGGCGACUCUCUGGUCUGUAACUGACGCUGAGGAGCGAAAGCGUGGGGAGCGAACAGGAUUAGAUACCCGAGUAGUCCCUGUCUCUUAUAC